GGGCCGAUUUCCACCUAUGAUGCAUCAUCACCAGGCACCCUCAGAUGGCCAGACUCCUGGGGCUCGUUUCCAGAGGUCUCACCUUGCCGAGGCAUUUGCAAAGGCCAAAGGAUCAGGUGGAGGUGCUGGAGGAGGAGGUAGUGGAAGAGGUCUGAUGGGGCAGAUUAUUCCAAUCUACGGUUUUGGGAUUUUUUUAUAUAUACUGUACAUUCUAUUUAAGCUCUCAAAGGGGAAAACAACUGCAGAGGAUGGGAAAUGCUAUACUGCCAUGCCUGGAAACACCCACAGGAAAAUUACCAGUUUUGAGCUUGCUCAACUGCAAGAAAAACUGAAGGAGACAGAAGCAGCCAUGGAAAAAUUAAUCAACAGAGUGGGACCUAAUGGUGAGAGCUGCCACCUACAGUCUGGGUGGAGAACUACCCAGGCUAUUAUAGACAGUUAUGUCUGA
rnacentral:lncRNA from 1 species